AACAGAUUUCAAUAAUUUAAAGAAUUCUGAUCACAACAAAAUUUUCUCAAAUUAUCGAAAUGUCAGACCGUGUCCUUCGAAUUUGAUCAGAAUCAUUUUCAUAGCAUAACAGAGAAGUUAUUCCAUUCGUGUUCAUCCAUCAUCAGCGCAGAUAAUAUUUACAUAGAUUUUUCGCUGAUUUUUUUUUCUCUCUUUCUCUCUUUUCCUAACUCAGGAAAAAAAUGCCAUAACAUUUCCAGGUUUUCCCUGACAUGUUCCCAGUUCUAGUAAGUUACUAAAACCUAAAUCGUUCAGCUUAUUAACUCUAUAUUCGGUGCAAAUUCAAUUCGAAUUGAAGAAAAAUAUAACGUAGUACAAAAUAGUGCAAAUUCUCAGC
rnacentral:lncRNA from 1 species